GAGAGUAUAGCUCAGUGGCGGAGUGCAUGCUUAGCAUGCCUGAGGUUCUGGGUUCAAUCCCCAGUACCCACA
rnacentral:tRNA from 1 species